rnacentral:lncRNA from 1 species
GAUAACAAAAAAUAUAUGUAUAGUACAUGCUACAAGAAGAAUGGGUUUGAAAUUGUCAAGCAAUGCUCUUAUUCUAUCUUUCUUUCUUUUACUUCUUUGUCUCUUUUCUGAAAUUGGAGGAAGUGAGACCACUCACCGAAAACUAGGUUAGUUCCUUCUUAUAUAUGUAAAUGAUAUUGUAGUUGCAUUUAUUUUCAUUCAAAUUAUAAAACUUUUCAUGUAUUGUUCUAUAUAUAUGAUUCAUGUUUAUCAUUUCUAACAUAAAUUCCGCAUUAUUGCUCUUUAGUAGAAGUGCCUAUUAGAGAGCUAAGUGUAGGUCCAUCUUGUUCAUGUGGAGGAGGCAAAGGAAGUGUUAAACGAAUAUCAAAGGAAUGCCCACGUCCACGUCCUUGUCCACCUCCACAUCCACAUGCACGUUAGAUCCUAUAAAAGGACGCAAAGAAGAAAGGAGAAAAUAAGAUUUCAGAAUUCUACCUUCUUUUUUGUAACUAUGAUUUAUUAUUUAUUGAAUUAUGUUUAGUACUUACCAUUUUUAUUUAUAAUUUCUCACACAGAAAUUAAAGUGUUGUAUCAUAAUAAAUAAUACUAUUUAAUGAUUUCUUUUG